ncrna:unclassified sequences S4-Flavobacteria ribosomal protein leader
CUCCGACGAAGGAUAAGAAUAAGACCUUAAUUCUCGGAG